rnacentral:rRNA from 1 species
GCUAAACGCGAAGAACCUUACCUACUCUUGACAUCCACGGAAGACUGCAGAGAUGCGGUUGUGCCUUCGGGAACCGUGAGACAGGUGCUGCAUGGCUGUCGUCAGCUCGUGUUGUGAAAUGUUGGGUUAAGUCCCGCAACGAGCGCAACCCCUAUCCUUAUUUGCCAGCACGUAAUGGUGGGAACUCUAGGGAGACUGCCGGUGAUAAACCGGAGGAAGGUGGGGACAACGUCAAGUCAUCAUGGCCCUUACGAGUAGGGCUACACACGUGCUACAAUGGCGAGUACAGAGGGUUGCAAAGCCGCGAGGUGGAGCUAAUCUCACAAAGCUCGUCGUAGUCCGGAUUGGAGUCUGCAACUCGACUCCAUGAAGUCGGAAUCGCUAGUAAUCGUGGAUCAGAAUGCCACGGUGAAUACGUUCCCGGGUCUUGUACACACCG